UACGAAGGGGGCUAGCGUUGCUCGGAAUUACUGGGCGUAAAGGGCGCGUAGGCGGACAGUUAAGUCAGAGGUGAAAGCCCAGGGCUCAACCCUGGAAUUGCCUUUGAUACUGGCUGUCUUGAGUAUGGGAGAGGUGAGUGGAACUCCGAGUGUAGAGGUGAAAUUCGUAGAUAUUCGGAAGAACACCAGUGGCGAAGGCGACUCACUGGCCCAUUACUGACGCUGAGGCGCGAAAGCGUGGGGAGCAAACAGG
rnacentral:rRNA from 1 species